rnacentral:rRNA from 1 species
AGCUUUUCAGAGGAAUUUGCUCUUUAAUGGAUAAAACACCUUAACCUUACUUGGUCUAGUAAAAUUCAGUUUGUAUACCACUAUAAAAAUAAUAAUUUACUUUUAUUAUUAAAAUUCUUUUUUUAGAUAAAAAUUAAGUCAAGGUGCAGCUUAAGGCUAAGAAUGAAGUGAAUUACAUUUCUUAAAAGAAAAGAAAAGUGAAACAAAAUAUUAGGAUUUGAUAGUAAAAUUAAAAUAAAAAGUUAAUUUGAAUUAAGCUCUAAGAUA